ACACACACACACACACACACUUUUGCACACUGCUAAUCAAAACUUCUACUUAUAACACAUGUAAAAUCUGAUACAAUUAUCAUCAAAUUCAAGGCAUUUCGUUGCAAACCAAUUCCCCAGCAUUGCUGCCGUCAGAGGAGACAAGCGCUUUCCGGUGUGCUGUUGGGAAAUUGGUCGCUGGCCAUGUCGCCAUUAGAAGCAGUGGGUACUUGGCCGGCAGAAGCAAGUUUGCACCUGACUCAGCUCCCAGGAAGGGUCUGCAAAAGACGGCCAAGUUCAUCGACAUCGUUUUGAUAAUGAAAUGCACCAACUCAGUGCGGGUCUGUUUUGGAGACGGCUGCCAGCGUCCCCAAGUGCGGGAACACGAGUCUCAGUGCAGACAGAGGCCCCUACCCUUCAGCCUGAUGCCAGAGGGCUUACACAUAAACCCUGCUUGACUUGGAAAUCAAAGAGAGGUGAGAAGAGUUCAGAUUUUCUCAUGCUGAGGUAUGGGGCCUGCCAAGAGACAAGACUGAACUAAUAAGGUCUGGAACUGUGCUUUAUCUAGUUAAUAGCAGCCUUUGACAUCACAGGACAACAUGCCAUCUCCUUGUGUUUACGUCCUCAGGAAGUGCCACGGUGAAAUCGAACA